rnacentral:misc_RNA from 1 species
UCCGGCUUAUCACCGGCGGUUUCUUUAGAGUGCCCAACUAAAUGAUGGCAACUAAUGACAAGGGUUGCGCUCGUUGCGGGACUUAACCCAACAUCUCACGACACGAGCUGACGACAGCCAUGCAGCACCUGUGUUACGGUUCUCUUCCGAGCACUAAGCCAUCUCUGGCGAGUUCCGUACAUGUCAAAGGUGGGUAAGGUUUUUCGCGUUGCAUCGAAUUAAACCACAUCAUCCACCGCUUGUGCGGGUCCCCGUCAAUUCCUUUGAGUUUUAACCUUGCGGCCGUACUCCCCAGGCGGAUAACUUAAUGCGUUAGCUGCGCCACCCAGGCACCAAGUGCCCGGACAGCUAGUUAUCAUCGUUUACGGCGUGGACUAC